AGUGAACGCUGGCGGUAGGCCUAACACAUGCAAGUCGAACGGCAGCACAGUAAGAGCUUGCUCUUACGGGUGGCGAGUGGCGGACGGGUGAGGAAUACAUCGGAAUCUACUUUUUCGUGGGGGAUAACGUAGGGAAACUUACGCUAAUACCGCAUACGACCUACGGGUGAAAGCAGGGGAUCUUCGGACCUUGCGCGAUUGAAUGAGCCGAUGUCGGAGUAGCUAGUUGGCGGGGUAAAGGCCCACCAAGGCGACGAUCCGUAGCUGGUCCGGGAGGAUGAUCAGCCAAACUGGAACUGAGACACGGGCCAGACUCCUACGGGGAGCAGCAAUGGGGAAUAUUUGACAAUGGGCGCAAGCCUGAUCCAGCCAUACCGCGUGGGUGAAGAAGGCCUUCGGGUUGGAAAGCCCUUUUGUUGGGAAAGAAAAGCAGCAGUUUAAUACCCCGCUGUUCUGACGGUACCCAAAGAAUAAGCACCGGCUAACUUCGUG
rnacentral:rRNA from 1 species